CCAGUGCUAGCUAGAACAAGAGUUACACAGCCUCUUCUGAAGGAACCUCUUUCAGCCCCGGUUGUCGGGAUCUCCCUAUGGGCACAGCUGGUUGACCUCCUGGGGCAGGACAUUCCUAUUGCCAGUAGAUGAUUUCAACGUGUGCAUCAGUCAAGGUUCAUUUGGGGAAGAAGGUUCACUGUGAUUGUGAGACAGUGAAUCCACUCCAGAAACGGGUUUCACACAGUCUGGAGAAGAACUAGGAAGGAGGAGAGGUCAGGAGAAGGGAGCUGGAGGGUCACGGAAGAAUAGCUCACCAGGCCUGGCCCAGAGGACUUCUGGAACCCAGGCAUGUCCUGUCCAGUCUCUGGAGAACUGCUCUCUCCUGUGGUCACCACCUCUGUGAGUUCACAGUCCGUCCUUGCUGGCAGUCCUGGGCUGCUAUUGUUAGCAGAGCUGGCAGACAAGGAUAGCUGGUGUUGGAAAUCAGGCACACACACCCCCAGCCUGCCUCCAGGGUCUCAGUGCCAGCAGCUACAGCAUCACCAACCGCUGUGCUCUGUCAGCAAACCCGAACCAAGACCAGGAGUGCAGCGGAGUGAGGGCCACUGGACCCUGCGGGUACCUCCUGGUCUGUGUCACCAGAGACCUCUACAGCACUGCCUGACUGCCAUGUCUCCUUCUCUUUCUUUCUGUUCCCCUUGCUGUUUCCCCAACCCCAUGGCUCUCUACCGCAAAAGCCUCUGGGGAUUCUGACUCAUCUUUCCUGGUGACUUAGGUUAGGCUCCCUUGUUUGUCACUCACAUCCCUCAGUGAUCGGACCCAGCUUGUCUUCCUGGGUCUAUCCUACUUCACUCCUACAAUUUCCUCGGCUUUAGACAUCAUGCUUCCCCAAAUGGGUUCUACUCUUUCCUAUCUCGAGCCUCUGUGCAAACUCUGCUUCUAAGAUCAAUAAAAUACCAGUAGCCUUCUAGACUCAGUCUCGA